rnacentral:lncRNA from 12 species
CUGGGUUGGACUCCACGAUUCGAAGGUCUUUUCCAACCCCGAAUUUCUGUGAAUUUCCCCCCUUCCUUCAGGCACUACCCAGCCCUGAAGACCUUGGAGCACCUGGAGCAAACGUUCCUGCCCCAGGUGAGCCACUACCGCUUCUGCCGGGCCAUGGUGGACAACAUCCCGCGGCUGCGGCGCGAGAUCCAGGAGCGCUCCAUGUCCGACCUCAAGGACUUCCUGGAGAGCAUCCGCAAGCACUCGGACAGGAUCGGCGAGACCGCCGUCAGGCAGGCACAGCAGCAGAGAAACCUGGACAACAUCGUGUCCCAGCAGCCCAGGAUUAGCGGGGGGAAGAAAUCCAAGAAGGAAUUCAGCGCCAGCUCCGAGCUGGAGGUGAAGAACACCAGCCCCAUGUCGGAGCAGGACUCGGGGAUCCUGGAUGUGGAGGAUGAGGAUGAGGAGGAGGAGGUAACAGCAACAGCAAAUCAGGGAUUCUGGGCACUGAGGGGUGGCUGUGGGGUCUCAAGGGGUUUGCUCCUUGCUCGUGGGGGAGUCCUGGAGGUGCAGAAGAGGCUGGAGAACCUGGGAAAUCCCAAAAUUUGGUGAUUUUGUGGUUUUAUCCCUAUUCCCAUUAGCAGGCUCAGCAGAGAGGCCAAGCAUUGAGAGCUGCCCACCCCAGUCUUGUGGGAAAUCCCAAAAUUUGGUUAUUUUGUGGUUUUAUCCCUUUUCCUUUGUCCUGGUUUGUCUUUGGAUAAGGGGCUGAUAAGGAGUUGGAAAUUUUAAUUCCUUGAUCCUUUCCUUUUCCUUUCCUUUCCUUUCCUUUCCUUUCCUUUCCUUUCCUUUCCUUUCCUUUCCUUUCCUUUCCUUUCCUUUCCUUUCCUUUCCUUUCCUUUCCUUUCCUUUCCUUUCCUUUCCUUUCCUUUCCUUUCCUUUCCUUUCCUUUCCUUUCCUUUCCUUUCCUUUCCUUUCCUUUCCUUUCCUUUCCUUUCCUUUCCUUUCCUUUCCUUUCCUUUCCUUUCCUUUCCUUUCCUUUCCUUUCCUUUCCUUUCCUUUCCUUUCCUUUCCUUUCCUUUCCUUUCCUUUCCUUUCCUUUCCUUUCCUUUCCUUCCCAUUUUUUUAUUUAGAAUUUCUCUCAUCUGUCAGUGAUAUUAUAAUGCUGCACCCAUUACCUUGAAUUAUUUUAAUUAAAUUAAUUAAAUUCUCACAGUUUCCCUUCCUCACCCCCAUUUUUUGUGGGUUUUCUGCCUUUUCCAGGUGCCUGGAGCCCAGGAUUUGGUGGAUUUCUCCCCCGUUUAUCGCUGCCUCCACAUUUACUCCGUCCUGGUGAGGGAAUUUUAAUCUUCUUUGAAAUCAAAAUAUUGUUUUGAUAAUUCUGUCAAAUUUUUUUGGUUAUUUCGAAGUAGAUAGGGC